GCAAACUUGGUCAUUUAGAGGAAGUAAAAGUCGUAACAAGGUUUCCGUAGGUGAACCUGCGGAAGGAUCAUUGCCGAACUGUCGACACGGGUUGUUGCUGGUCCCCGCAAGGGGGCACGUGCACGCCCUGUCAACACAUCCACCCACACCUGUGCACUCUCGGUAGUUCUGUGGCCCCCCGCGGGCUGCAGCUCUGCUCCUUUACACACACUCUGUAACAAAGUCUCAUGGAAUGUAACCGCGUUUAACGCAAUAUAAUACAACUUUCAGCAACGGAUCUCUUGGCUCUCGCAUCGAUGAAGAACGCAGC
rnacentral:misc_RNA from 1 species